rnacentral:rRNA from 1 species
ACGCUGGCGGCACGCCUAACACAUGCAAGUCGAACGAAGUAGCAAUACUUAGUGGCAGACGGGUGAGUAACAUGUAGGUAUCUGCCCUUUGGCCUGGAAUAACACGAGGAAACUUGUGCUAAUACCGGAUAAGUCCUUACGGAGAAAGCUUUAUGCACCAUUGGAUGAGCCUGCACUUGAUUAGUUUGUUGGUGGGGUAAUGGCCUACCAAGACUGUGAUCAAUAGCUGAUUUGAGAGGAUGAUCAGCCACAUUGGGACUGAGACACGGCCCAAACUCCUACGGGAGGCAGCAGUGGGGAAUCUUGCACAAUGGAGGAAACUCUGAUGCAGCGAUGCCGCGUGAGUGAAGAAGGCCCUUGGGUUGUAAAGCUCUUUCGUCGGGGAAGAAAAUGACUGUACCCGAAUAAGAAGGUCCGGCUAACUUCGUGCCAGCAGCCGCGGUAAUACGAAGGGACCUAGCGUAGUUCGGAAUUACUGGGCUUAAAGAGUUCGUAGGUGGUUGAAAAAGUUGGUGGUGAAAUCCCAGAGCUUAACUCUGGAACUGCCAUCAAAACUUUUCAGCUAGAGUUUGAUAGAGGAAAGCAGAAUUUCUAGUGUAGAGGUGAAAUUCGUAGAUAUUAGAAAGAAUACCAAUUGCGAAGGCAGCUUUCUGGAUCAUUACUGACACUGAGGAACGAAAGCAUGGGUAGCGAAGAGGAUUAGAUACCCUCGUAGUCCAUGCCGUAAACGAUGUGUGUUAGACGUUGGAAAUUUAUUUUCAGUGUCGCAGCGAAAGCGAUAAACACACCGCCUGGGGAGUACGACCGCAAGGUUAAAACUCAAAUGAAUUGACGGGGACCCGCACAAGUAGUGGAGCAUGUGGUUUAAUUCGAAGAUACGCGCAGAACCUUACCAACACUUGACAUGUUCGUCGCGACUUUAAGAGAUUAAAGUUUUCGGUUCGGCCGGACGAAACACAGGUGCUGCAUGGCUGUCGUCAGCUCGUGUCGUGAGAUGUUGGGUUAAGUCCCGCAACGAGCGCAACCCUCACUUUUAGUUGCCAUCAUUAAGUUGGGCACUCUGAAAGAACUGCCAGUGAUAAGCUGGAGGAAGGUGGGGAUGACGUCAAGUCCUCAUGGCCCUUACGUGUUGGGCUACACACGUGCUACAAUGGUAUCUACAACAGGAAGCAAGACGGCGACGUUAAGCAAAUCCUUAAAAGAUACCUCAGUUCGGAUUGCACUCUGCAACUCGAGUGCAUGAAGCUGGAAUUACUAGUAAUCGUGGAUCAGCGUGCCACGGUGAGUGCGUUCCCGGGUCUUGUACUCACCGCC